rnacentral:rRNA from 1 species
AGAGUUUGAUUAUGGCUCAGAUUGAACGCUGGCGGCAGGCCUAACACAUGCAAGUCGAACGGUAACAGGAAGCAGCUUGCUGCUUUGCUGACGAGUGGCGGACGGGUGAGUAAUGUCUGGGAAACUGCCUGAUGGAGGGGGAUAACUACUGGAAACGGUAGCUAAUACCGCAUAAUGUCGCAAGACCAAAGAGGGGGACCUUCGGGCCUCUUGCCAUCGGAUGUGCCCAGAUGGGAUUAGCUAGUAGGUGGGGUAACGGCUCACCUAGGCGACGAUCCCUAGCUGGUCUGAGAGGAUGACCAGCCACACUGGAACUGAGACACGGUCCAGACUCCUACGGGAGGCAGCAGUGGGGAAUAUUGCACAAUGGGCGCAAGCCUGAUGCAGCCAUGCCGCGUGUAUGAAGAAGGCCUUCGGGUUGUAAAGUACUUUCAGCGGGGAGGAAGGCGAUAAGGUUAGUAACCUUGUCGAUUGACGUUACCCGCAGAAGAAGCACCGGCUAACUCCGUGCCAGCAGCCGCGGUAAUACGGAGGGUGCAAGCGUUAAUCGGAAUUACUGGGCGUAAAGCGCACGCAGGCGGUCUGUCAAGUCGGAUGUGAAAUCCCCGGGCUCAACCUGGGAACUGCAUUCGAAACUGGCAGGCUAGAGUCUUGUAGAGGGGGGUAGAAUUCCAGGUGUAGCGGUGAAAUGCGUAGAGAUCUGGAGGAAUACCGGUGGCGAAGGCGGCCCCCUGGACAAAGACUGACGCUCAGGUGCGAAAGCGUGGGGAACAAACAGGAUUAGAUACCCUGGUAGUC